GCACUAUACUAAGGAAGAUGUAUCCCAAUUAUACUAUCAAUAAAUCUGUAUAUUAUUCUUAUAUUUCUGUCUAUUUCAACCUAUUCUGCUGCUUUUCAGCAAAGAUGCACUCCUCCUCUGAUUAGUUUGUGUGAUGCAAACCUCAGUCACCAGAUGUAACUGCAGACAGGAUCAGCACCACAUCCAGCUCUUUUUACCACAAGUCAGAUUUGAUUUAAAAGUGUGAUAGGAUUUUUUGUUCCUUUAUGGAUAGGUUAUCCAUGUUUCUUUGAUUUGCACUUGCAGGACUCUUGGUUACCAGCUAAAUCUCUGAAAAAAUAGCUCACAUGUCCGGGUAGUCCGAGCAGUAGACCUGAUGAUACAGUGUGGGCAAGAAGAGAAGAUUUUGAGCACUGUCCUGCUUCCCGAGUAAGGCUCUACUGUCCCAAUCUUGAUGAAUGAAUCAGCUCUUGAUUGAUGAAUCAGCUGGCUAUUGUCAGUGUCCCUUCUGUUCGUAGAAGAGCAGGUUCUCAGUCUUCUCAAAGUCCUGUAGUUUUGGAUGCAUUGUGGAGAUGAAAGCAACUGGAACUAUGAUCCAUAGGAAAACAAAGCUGGGCAUCAAAGUGAGAACAUGAAGAGCUGUCUUAGAAAUGUGUUUGCCAAAACCUUGAGGACUAUACAAAACGGAACCCCUGGCAGCUGCUGCAAGAGGAGAUUUUUGGAAAGAGCUGGAAUGAUGCUGGCAGUUGCUGGUGCAGGCAUAUAGACAAUGACUUUUGGAGUCUUCUUUCUGCCAGAGUGAGUAGAGAA
rnacentral:lncRNA from 1 species